AGUGCGGGCCAUGGCAGCCUCUGUGCGAGAGCUUAUCCGGAAGUUCCAGGAGGAAGGGAAUCCCGUUUGUUGCAUGAUCACAGACACCUUCAACGGAUUCACCCAGGAUCUGGCGGACGAAUUCGGCAUCCCCAGGGCGGUGUUCUGGACCUCCAAUGCGAUCGACGACAUCUAUCACCUCUUCCUGCCGGAGCUCAUGUCCAAAGGAUUCGUGCCAGUCACGAGUAAGUUCUCCCUCCCCUGUUUUUAGGGUUCUAAGGAAACUCUUCUUCUUCCAGCCAGGAAAACGGACGAGCUCAUCACAUUCCUCCCCGGAUGCCCGCCGAUGCCCGCCACGGAUCUGCCGCUCGCCUUCUACUACGACCACCCAAUCCUGGGCGUGAUCUGCGACGGCGCGUCGCGGUUCGCGGAGGCGAGAUUCGCGCUGUGCAACACCUACGAGGAGCUGGAGCCCCACGCAGUGGCGACGCUGCGCAGCGAGGUCAAAUCCAGCUACUUCCCCAUCGGCCCGUGCCUGUCCCCCGCAUUCUUCGCGGGGGACUCGACAGCGGUGGAGCGAUCCAGCGAGCUCCUGUCUCCCGAGGAUCUGGCGUGCCUGGAGUGGCUUGACACACAGAAGGAAUCCUCCGUGAUCUACGUCUCCUUCGGUAGCGUGGCCACCAUGUCCGUGGAGCAAUUCCAGGAGCUCGCCAGGGGCCUGGAGCGCAGCAACCAGCCAUUCGUACUGGUGCUGCGCAAGACCCUGGUCGCGGAUCCCUCGGUGCACGAUUUCUUCGAGGGUUUGAAGCAGCGGAUCGGCGAGCGCGGGAUGGUGAUCUCGUGGGCGCCGCAAAUGCACGUCUUGCUCCACCCGGCGGUGGGAGGAUUCCUGACGCACUGCGGAUGGAACUCGACCGUGGAGGGGAUCUGCGCGGGCGUGCCGAUGCUCGCCUGGCCUUGCAUGGCGGAGCAAAACAUCAACUGCAAGGAGCUUGUGGAGCACUGGAAGCUGGCGAUCCCGGUCCAGGAUGAUCGGGAUAAAAGCUCCGUGAUCUCGGUCUCGAGCGAGAGGCUGGCGGAUCUAGUGGCGCGGCUAAUGAGAGGCGACGAGGGUCGCGAGAUGCGAGCCCGGGCUCGGGGAUUCCGCAAGGCUACUGCGGCUGCCAUAGCCGAGGGAGGAUCCUCGGACAGGAACCUCAAGGCCUUCGCCCAAGCUCUGAGAGAUCUGUGAUCUCUCGGAGGCUAACAACCAUUAUGUAAAGUCAAUAUUUCUCGAUCAUACCAAGAUUUACGAGAACAAACUUGCGACACUGUUUGCGAUGCGGACGGCGGUUGCGUGACUGACUUGUUAUCCUAAACCUCCCGGGAUUGGGAUUAUUGAAGAGAUGUCAGCUGACUUGCUACAUAUUACAUCUACUGUGUCGCGUGCGUGAUGGAGAACUUCAAAUGUAGCAUAAAAAUAAAGAUCUUUAACAUUUCUUAGUCUUAUUCAUCCAUUUUGCAGAAGAGCUUCUUGGGGAGGAACCGAGGCUGGGUGGCGCUGUGGCGUGCACUUGAGCAGCAGCGCCUCGUCUUUGAGAUUAUAAACAUCACUUUUAUUUUUCUGUUUAUGAAAUCGUCAAUAUUCUUAGAAUAACAAAUCGAUAUUCCUGUACUUUGAUGGAGAGGACAAAAACUAAAGAGAGGUUUCCUUUCAAAGUCUGGCCAAAGCUCCACCCCGCCGGUGCGACGUUGAGCGACGUGACCAGUCGAUUGUCACUCGUCACGACGCGGAACGAGACUGCCCGAUGAGCCUGCUAUCGCUCUGCCUCGACAUGGAUGCCCACAAGACCAUAAUUCGUGGUUGCAUACUUUUCAGGCCUCAUUGCUCUUCCGGAGGACAACACCUGCUUGCAAGCUGGGAUCUUUGGCUAUGGUGGAGAGUAUUCUACUGGACAUGGCAUCGCACUUCUCACCAACACCAGUGCUAGCGUUGUCAAUAGUGUCGUUUAAAGCUUGUCCUUCUCUUUCACUGGUCUCACGGUUCCUCAGACAACCUCAAGGCAGCUCCUCGAGGUCUACUACAUCCCAGCAUCGAUCCCAAGACUGGCUUCCGGGAAAACAUUCGAGUGACCAUACCUUUCUUAUUUGACUCGUAGGGAUUCAAACUUGGCCUGCUAAUGGACAAACGUGAAAGAAAACACGAGGAAAAGACACAGGCCGCCGUGUCCAAAGUUUCUCACUGACAAGUAGCGAUUAAUUCAGAAAUCAAAUUUAAUACAACCUCUGCAAAUGUCCGAAAGAUUACCAGCCGUGUGUCCCAAACGUUCGGACCAAAUCAAACGUGGCGUGCGACGCAGACAGCGGCUGAACUGUUCCCUUGCGUUGACCAUGUCGCUAUUGGCCAAUACAAUCAUUACAAGAAUCUCCUCUUCCACUCUCAAAAGAUCGAUCGCUUCUGAUCAAGAGCAACAACACCAUGGCCUACACUUACACCCCACAAGGCCAUCCAAUGCAACAGCAUCAAGGACAGCAGCAAGGAUUCACCAGCGAAGGCCAUUCUGUUGCCUCUCCUGCUGCCCACGGAGUGGCAACUAUGGCACCCCCGAAUUCUGGCCUCUGGACAACAGGCCUCUAUGGAUGCACUGAGGACUGCCCCUCUUGUAAGGCUUUUUUUUUUUGAGAAAAAAAAGUUGUGCAACUUGGAUGAUUGACUGAGUGACCUCUUUAAAUUUGCUCUCUGUUCUUUGAUCCUAGGUCUGGUUUGUAGCAAACUUGCAGAUAGAUAAGAUGUCCGUGCGACAAUACUUAAAAUGUUUUCUGAUCAAUUCUCUCCAUCUGGUGUAACCACAGGCUGGUGUGCGUUGUGCUGCCCCUGCGUUCUUGUUGGGCGCAUGGCCAACAUUCUGGAUCAAGGCAUGACCUGUGAGUAUUCAACUUUGAGAUAAACGAUAUCCCGAACGUUUUUUUUUUUUUGAUGUUCCACUCACGAUUCUGCUUGGAUUUGUGAUCCAAUGUUGUAGCUGUCUUCACCGGAGCCGCCAUCUUUUGCGGCUGUGGCUGCCUCUACAGCUGCCUGUACCGUGCAAAGCUGCGCCACAAGUAUGGACUCCCCGAGGAGCCCUGCAACGACAUCUGCACCGAGUGCUGGUGCAACUGCUGCUCCAUUGCCCAGGCUUACAGGGAGCUCAGGAACCGCAACAUCAACCCGGCUCUGGGUAUGAUUUCUGGGGCCUUGGUGAUCUUUGUUUCCUGAUUUCUGAAAAUGGUGAUUUUUCAGGGUACGAGUUUGCGAGGGCGGUGUACGAGCAGCCACCUCAAGUGCAGGAGAUGCGCAAAAUUUGAGCUACGGAAAUUAGUUUUUAAAAUCUUCAACUUGAAAAUGCUUCUUCGGGGUUUUCAAGAACGCCAUGUUGCAUUCGUGAUCGGAAGGAUUUCUUCCUCGUGACAUUGGAAAAUAAUAGAAUAAAUUUCUAAACAUCUCAUCUAGAAUUAUUUAAUGUCCUAAAAAGAACAUAUACUGGAAUAUAUUCUGGAAGAGCUUGUCGUCAACACGAUUGAGGAGCUGGAUCAGGAAGUCGUGAAUGGACGGAGGUUGCUGUUCUCCAGUUAUUUACCAGUCGGACCUCUGGUACCUGCGGAGCUUCUGCAAGAACAGCACCCGAUCACUCUCAGUUCUCCAAAUGACACUAGCAUGAUCUGGCUGGACAAACAAGCUUACGGCUCGGUUCUGUAUAUCGCUUUUGGAAGUGUUGUUACUCUGCCAGCCGACCAAGUGGAGAAAAUUGCAAGAGCUGUAAAAGCUACCCGUCAGCCAGUCUUGUGGGCGAUCAGGAGGAACUUUGCAAAAGACGUACCUGAGAACUUUUAUGAAAGCUUGCAAGAGAUAGUUAAAAGUUUAUGGUGGUGGAACCUUGCCACCACCAUAAACUGGUGGUGGAAUGGGCUCCGCAAGUAAACGUCUUGCGCCACUCCGCGGUUGGAGCCUUCUUAAUGCACGGUGGAUGGAACUCAGCUCUAGAAGCCCUGUGCUGUGGAGUGCCAAUGCUUUGCUGGCCCUGCGCUAGCGAUCAGAACUUGAAUGCUCUCACGAUAGUGAAGAAGUGGAGAACUGGGAUAAUGGUGGCUCGGCGCCGGCGCUACGCCCGCUAGGGUGUGGUGAUCGAUGGCAGCGGAGGGCGCUUGCGGUGCCAUCGGCGGCGAGAGCGCGCCAUGCCAAUGCGCUGGUUGCGCGAUCCGAGUAAGAUUCGCUCUAGAGAUCCGCUCGCGAGAAUGUGGCUGGGGAUUUGGCUUCCAGCGAAAAGAUUUGCAAUUUUCAACAUCAAACAUAGCUCCGAUGACCGGUAACAGCAUGCGCAGCAGCAACGAUCUCGCCAAGGGGGAUCCCGGCGAGCUCGUGGAGAAGAUCCGCCUGGCAGCGUGGGCCAUGGCAGUCUCUGUGCGAGAGAUUAUCCGGAAGCUCCAGGAGGAAGGGAACCCCGUUUGCUGCAUGAUCACGGACACCUUCAACGGAUUCACCCAGGAUCUGGCGGACGAAUUCGGUAUCCCCAGGGCGGUGUUCUGGACCUCCAACGCGAUCAACGACAUUUAUCACCUCUUCCUGCCGGAGCUCAUCUCCAAAGGAUUCGUGCCAGUCGCGAAUAAGUUCUCCCUCCCCUGUUUUUGGGGUUCUAAGGAAACUCCCCCUUCUUCGAGCCAGGAAAACGGACGAGCUCAUCACAUUCCUGCCUGGCUGCCCGCCAAUGCCCGCCACAGAUCUGCCUCUAUCCUUCUACUACGAUCACCCAAUCCUGGGCAUGGUCUGCGACGGCGCGUCGCGGUUCGCGGAGGCGAUAUUCGCUCUGUGCAACAC
rnacentral:lncRNA from 1 species